UAUCUAUAUAAUAAGGCACAAAGGUUUUUGAAAAUAUGUUAGAGACAAUUGUUCUAUUGGGACAUUUCAAUGGUUGGAAUACAUUCUGCCUAAAGAUGGAUGGUAGAGAUGAGACUUUCUCUCCCACUCUACUUUAACUUCUCGUUCACUUAACCCUAAAACUUUGCAUCCAAGACUCUGAGGCUUGCAAACAUUCCUUUUCAAAUUUGCACCAUUUUUCCUCUCUCUCUCUCUCUCUCUGUCUCUUCAAACUUCUCAGAGAUCUUUCUCUCCCUCGGCAACAUCUCUACCACUGACAGCAACUCUCCACAGCCGCGCCGCUUUUACCGCUAUGUCGCCUCCGAUCUCCACCGACAUCAACUCUUCAUCUCUUCUCCCUCUUGGAUCUUCUCUUAACCCACCACGGCGCCUCCGUCCACCGUCAAGAGUGUUUGGGUUUGUGUUUUCUAAAUCUUAAUCCAUCUUAAUCCAUGUAUUAAAUGGAAUCACACUAAACCCAGAAAAAGUUGAAGCAAGGCAUACAAAGACACUAUAUACAUCAAUUUGGGUUUGUGUUUCUAAGAUUUGAGUUUGAAUUUGAAUUUGUUUGUUCUAAAUAUUAAAAUUGAUAUGUUUGUGUUGGGUUUGUGUUUGUUUUUGUUGUUUUGUUGUUUUUUCGUUUUUUGUUUUUGUGGUGUUAUGUUUGUUUUUUUAUUUUUCUUAUGUAGCUUUCAGUUUUGGAUCUGAAAUGAGUUUUGAUUUUUGACAUGAUUUUGAUUUAUGAAAUAGGUUUAAUGAGUGUUGAUUUUCAAAAACAUGGUUUUCUAUGAUUUUGAAAAUCAACCAGAAAUUGGUAGUGACCACAUUUGCUGGCAUUUGAUGUUUGGACAUUAGCCCACAGCUCUUUGAAAGCUAUAGGACAUGAGCCUAAGCAUAGACCAAUGGGGUCUGUCACCCCACUCAAAUUUUGAGAAAUUUAGCAACUCUAAAUUUCAAGAAUUUUACUCUUUGAAAGGUCCAUGAAUUGAGAAUUGGGUAGGGGUUAACAUGGGUGUUAGGGACAAUAGGAAAAGCCAAAUUAAAGCCAUGGAUAAGGGGAAUUGACGUUGGAGUCGUAUUCAAUUGAGUGUGAUUGAUUUUCCUUCUGAGAAGUUGGGUUCAUGUCAUAGACAAUAUGAUACUCCCAGAUAUGCUUUUUUGUUGCUUUCUUUUUUAUUACAUUGUAAAAGCUAAAUUUUCUAUAAACACUACUAAUAUAUAGUCUUUUGGGUCAGGAUGAUGGGAAUGAUUCGAAGUGUAUCAAAGUUUCCAACUUACAGGAGGAGAUUUAGGUAGAUUGUGAAGGCCUUAAUCAUUUAUUCCAUAGAAAAGAGGGUGCCAAUAGAUCAUUUUCUAUGAGAUCAGUUGCCUCUGUUGAAGUUGUGUGGAUGAGACUUAAACCUAGUUACCAAGUGGAAGCAUAAUCUUGACUGCCUUCAGAGUUUUUGUGCUUUGAAUUUGGAAUUGGAUGAGAUGAAUAAGCUUUUGAAAGAGUCUGGGGUUGUUCAUUAAUAGAAGGAAACAAACCAGUGGCACCCUUAAACUCUCCAAUCAAGGUAAUCUCUUCAAACUUCCAUGUUAUAUGAUUUAUCUUUUAUUUUUUAUUUUUUAUAGAGAAAAGAUUCAGCCAUUUAAGCUAUUUAUAUGAGAG